CGUAGGUGAACCUGCGGAAGGAUCUUAGUGAUUAAACUGUUGCCCUCUGUGCUGGCUCUGCAAGUGCACGUCGGUGACUUUCAUUCCAAUACCCUUGUGAACCUUUGGCCUCUUGCUAGCUUCGGCUGGCAGAGGAUUCUACAUACAAACUCGCAUGUAAUGAAACUCUUGUUGUGCACAAGCACUACUAUACAACUUUCAACAACGGAUCUCUUGGCUCUCGCAUCGAUGAAGAACGCAGCGAAAUGCGAUAAGUAAUGUGAAUUGCAGAAUUCAGUGAAUCAUCGAAUCUUUGAACGCACCUUGCACCCUUUGGCAUUCUGAAGGGUAUGCUCGUUUGAGUGUCAUUGUACUCUCACACUUCCGAUCUUGCAUUGGGAGCGGUGGACUUGGGUUUGCUGCCUUACCGUAGCUUACCUCAAAUGUGUUAGUGCAACUCUUGGUUGGACAUAGUACGGCGUGAUAAGUAUCUUCGCCGGUGCCUCGCAAUUGCGAGGGUGGCCGAUCGGGAUGUUGUGCUCCAAACCGUCUUCGGACAAUCUCUGACAACUUGACCUCAAAUCGAGUAAGACUACCCGCUGAACUUAAGCAUAUC
rnacentral:rRNA from 1 species